AAUAUUUUACAAUGGGCGCAAUCCUGAUCCAGCCAUGCCGCGUGAGUGAUGAAGGCCCUAGGGUUGUAAAGCUCUUUCACCGGUGAAGAUAAUGACGGUAACCGGAGAAGAAGCCGCGGCUAACUUCGUUCCAGCAGCCGCGGUAAUACGAAGGGGGCUAGCGUUUUCCGGAAUUACUGGGCGUAAAGCGAAAGUAGGCGGACAUUUAAGUCAGGGGUGAGAUCCCGGGGCUCAAGCCUGGAACUGCCUUUGAUACUGGAUGUCUCGGGUCUGGAAGAGGUGAGUGGAAUUCCGAGUGUAGAGGUGAAAUUCGUAGAUAUUCGGAGGAAAACCAGUGGCGAAGGCGGCUAACUGGUCCAUUACUGACGCUGAGGUGCGAAAGCGUGGGGAGCCAACAGG
rnacentral:rRNA from 1 species